GAUGAACGCUGGCGGCGUGCCUAAUACAUGCAAGUAGAACGCUGAAGCUUGGUGCUUGCACCGAGCGGAUGAGUUGCGAACGGGUGAGUAACGCGUAGGUAACCUGCCUGGUAGCGGGGGAUAACUAUUGGAAACGAUAGCUAAUACCGCAUAACAGUCGACAUUGCAUGAUGUUGAUUUGAAAGGGGCAAUUGCUCCACUACCAGAUGGACCUGCGUUGUAUUAGCUAGUUGGUGAGGUAACGGCUCACCAAGGCGACGAUACAUAGCCGACCUGAGAGGGUGAUCGGCCACACUGGGACUGAGACACGGCCCAGACUCCUACGGGAGGCAGCAGUAGGGAAUCUUCGGCAAUGGACGGAAGUCUGACCGAGCAACGCCGCGUGAGUGAAGAAGGUUUUCGGAUCGUAAAGCUCUGUUGUAAGAGAAGAACGAGUGUGAGAGUGGAAAGUUCACACU
rnacentral:rRNA from 1 species